AUGGGCAAGAUGCGCGCGCUCUUCUCCCGCAGCCGCAGCGGCGGCCGCGCCAGCCGCUCCUCCUCCACCAAGUCAUCGUCGACGCCGCCGUCGCCGGCGCGGUCGCCCUCUGUGCGGGAGGACGAGAUGGAGCGCGUGUUCCGCAAGUUCGACGCCAACGGCGACGGCAGGAUCUCGCGGGCCGAGCUGGCGGCGCUGUUCGAGAGCGUGGGCCACGCGGUCACGGACGACGAGGUGUCGCGCAUGAUGGAGGAGGCCGACUCGGACGGCGACGGCUACAUCAGCCUCGCCGAGUUCGCCGCCAUCAACGCCGCGCCCGACGCCGCCGUCGAGGAGGACCUCCGGCACGCCUUCCGCGUCUUCGACGCCGACGGCAACGGCGUCAUCUCCCCCGCCGAGCUCGCGCGCGUGCUGCGCGGCCUCGGCGAGGCCGCCACCGUCGCGCAGUGCCGCCGCAUGAUCGAGGGCGUCGACCGCAACGGCGACGGCCUCGUCUCCUUCGACGAGUUCAAGCUCAUGAUGGCCAACGGCAAAGGCUUCGGCCUCGCCCAGGCCAACGUCCGCGCCUGA
rnacentral:rRNA from 1 species